AUUUUUUUUGGCGCAGGCAUAAAUUCUAUGUCCCCGUUUCACGGAAGUGCUCCCUGUAUAAUUGUUGCUCCUCAGAGUUGCCUGAUAUUGAAUUUUAUCGGAAACGCUGUCCCUUUCCCCUGUAUCAAAAUUUCUCGGGAAAAUGACGGAAAAUUCCGAACUAUGAGAAUUUUCAUGUUGUCAAAAUGAGGGGAUCAUUUUGGGUUGACGAAUCUAAUUCCCCAUCAACCUCCAGCUCGCAUCCUCGCAUUCAUCCUCAGCCUCCCUCUUCCCGCCGUCACAGUGGUAAUAAUGUGUUUCGACUGCUGGCACGAAGAGAGGUUUGCCCUCGAGCAAAGCAUGCCUGUAAAAAUUGGUGGGGCGAAUCUUUCGAUAAGCGUCUGGAUUCCUUUGCGCUCAGUGCCGAAUCAGGCGUAGAUGCCAGGCGCGCUCUUGUUUCAUGGGUGGAGGCAGAAUCUUUGCUGAAUUUAUCAGCCAAAUAUUGUCCGCUGUUGCCUCCUCCUAGAUCAACCAUAGCCGCAGCCUUCAGUUCUGAUGGCAAGGUCCUUGCUUCUACGCAUGGAGAUCAUACUGUAAAGAUUAUGGAUUGCCGAACUGGGAAAUGCUUAAGGGUCUUGAGCGGUCAUCGGAGGACGCCCUGGGUAGUUAGGUUUCAUCCUACUUGUCCAGAAAUACUAGCAAGUGGAAGUUUGGAUCAUGAAGUUCGUCUGUGGAAUGCAAAUGCUGCAGAGUGUAUAGGAUCUCGUGACUUCUACCGUCCGAUUGCAUCUAUUGCUUUUCAUGCUCAUGGGGAGCUUCUUGCCGUAGCUUCUGGUCACAAGCUAUACAUAUGGCAAUAUAACAAUAAAGGGGAGACAUCCUCUCCAGCUAUUGUGCUGAAGACACGUCGUUCACUUCGUGCUGUGCAUUUUCACCCACAUGGUGCUCCAUUUCUCUUAACAGCAGAGGUAAAUGACCUCGAUUCAUCUGAUUCCUCAAUGACACUUGCAACUUCUCCAGGGUACCUGUGCUAUCCUCCUCCCACUGUAUAUUUGGCAGAUGCUCAUCCUGAACGACGCCUUGGGUUUGGGGAUGAACUGCCUUUAAUGUCCUUGCCCUUUCUUAUGCGGCCUUCAUUUGCUAGGGAUGUUGGUAGAAUACCUCUGCAGCAAACUGAUGGAGAUGUUGGUUCUAGUCGUGUGCAACAAAGAUUUGAUCCUUCCACUUCUGUGCGCCUUCUGACAUAUUCAACUCCAUCAGGGCAGUAUGAACUUCUGCUAUCUCCCAUUGAACCUAAUAGCUCAUCUCCUGUGCCAGAAGAAGGCCAGACUGAUUCUUUCAUGGGUGAAAUUGAUAAUGAAGCUCCUCAAUUUGCAAUGGAUACUGCUGAGACAGCAGAAGUGCACACUGUAGAGAGAAAUACUUCCACCUUACCUUUUGGUGAUCAACUGUACUGGGAAAUUCCUUUUUUGCAUGGGUGGUUAGUUGGCCAGAGCCAAACAGCGCACCAUGCAAUGGGCUCACUUAAUGGUUUGACUCAUGAAAAUUUAAGAACAUUUGGUGAAACAGAAAAUCAUGCUUCAUCCCCUGUAAUGCCAAUUAGUAUUGGCCAAUCUAGAGGCAAUGGGAGAUCUGGUCUGCAUUAUCGAUCUUCGCGAUCCCAAACAUCUGCAACUGGGUCUGGUGGAAGCUCUGCUUUUGACAGCAUGGGACGUAAUGAAAAUGAUGCUCUGCCCGUUGCUAGCAGAGUCCAAUCUGAACUUGCUACCUCCCUGGCUGCAGCUGCUGCCGCAGAGUUACCUUGCACUGUCAAGUUAAGAAUUUGGCCUUAUGAUGUAAAAGAUCCCUUUGUCCCUCUUGAUGCUGAGCAAUGUCGCCUAACUAUAUCACAUGCUGUACUUUGCAGUGAAAUGGGCGCUCAUUUUUCACCUUGUGGGAGAUUUUUAGCUGCUUGUGUUGCAUGUGUGCUCCCUCAUGUGGAAGCUGAUCCUGGCUUACAAGGCCAGGUGCUUAAUGAAAAUGCAGGGGCUGCAACAUCCCCAACACGGCAUCCAAUUUCAGCCCACCAAGUUAUGUAUGAGCUUCGGAUAUAUUCCCUUGAGGAGGCAACGUUUGGCUUGGUGCUUGCAUCCCGGGCUAUAAGAGCUGCUCACUGUUUAACUUCGAUUCAGUUCUCUCCCACAUCAGAGCACUUACUGCUAGCCUAUGGCCGUCGUCACAGUUCGCUCCUUAAAAGUGUUGUCAUUGACAGGGAGACGACAGUACCGAUUUACACUAUUCUUGAGGUGUACCGAGUUUCUGAUAUGAAACUUGUUAGAGUUCUUCCUAGUGCAGAAGAUGAGGUCAAUGUUGCAUGCUUUCAUCCCUCAGUUGGAGGUGGGCUUGUGUAUGGGACUAAGGAAGGGAAGCUUAGGAUUUUCCAAUAUGAUAAUUCUCAUGGUACAAAUUAUACAUCCUCUUUUCUUGACGAGCGCAUGCUUGAGGAAGCAGUAGCAAACGUCCCAACAUAUGCUUUAGAAUGCUAAUAACUAGUGCUCAGGACUGAGGAGUCAGGAGCCAUGUGCAUUAUAUGAGAGGCUCUCGAUCUAUUUUACUUCCUCCAACUAGUUUCUUAGAUGGUUUCUUUAAACACCGCAUUCAGAGGCGUGGAUGAGUUGUUUCCAGCAACCUAGAUUUCUUGAGCAGUCAUUCGCUUGAUCAAUACACAAAAUUAUUAGUGUAUGAGGAUUUUUAAUUAUUAUUCAUCAUAUACCAUGUUAAGUUGUACUUUUGUGGUUAAAGUUGUAUCACCACGAGAGAAUUGUUUGUCAAGAAAUUACUCUUUUAUAUUAGUGUUUUUUUUUCCUU